GACUAUUUCCGAUAUAGUAAUAGAAAAGACCCCGCCCCACUUCUAUUAACACAUAGCAAUGUCAACUGUUAAGAAAAGACUCUGUCUUCUUCUUGAGAGCGGGCGGAACGGGUUGAGUAAUGCCUAGAAAUCUGCCUGUAGUGGGGAUAACGUCGAAACGGACGCUAAUACCGCAUACGUCUACGGGAGAAAGCAGGGGACUUCGGGCCCUUGCGCUAUCAGAUGAGCCUAGGUCGGAUUAGCUAGUUGGUGAGGUAAUGGCUCACCAAGGCGACGAUCCGUAACUGGUCUGAGAGGAUGAUCAGUCACACUGGAACUGAGACACGGUCCAGACUCCUACGGGAGGCAGCAGUGGGGAAUAUUGGACAAUGGGCGAAAGCCUGAUCCAGCCAUGCCGCGUGUGUGAAGAAGGUCUUCGGAUUGUAAAGCACUUUAAGUUGGGAGGAAGGGCAGUAAAUUAAUACUUUGCUGUUUUGACGUUACCGACAGAAUAAGCACCGGCUAACUCUGUGCCAGCAGCCGCGGUAAUACAGAGGGUGCAAGCGUUAAUCGGAAUUACUGGGCGUAAAGCGCGCGUAGGUGGUUUGUUAAGUUGGAUGUGAAAUCCCCGGGCUCAACCUGGGAACUGCAUUCAAAACUGACUGACUAGAGUAUGGUAGAGGGUGGUGGAAUUUCCUGUGUAGCGGUGAAAUGCGUAGAUAUAGGAAGGAACACCAGUGGCGAAGGCGACCACCUGGACUAAUACUGACACUGAGGUGCGAAAGCGUGGGGAGCAAACAGGAUUAGAUACCCUGGUAGUCCACGCCGUAAACGAUGUCAACUAGCCGUUGGAAGCCUUGAGCUUUUAGUGGCGCAGCUAACGCAUAAGUGACCGCUGGGAUAACGCCCU
rnacentral:rRNA from 1 species